rnacentral:lncRNA from 1 species
UGCAAAUGUGCUUAGUAUAGGUUCCCUCAGUCCCUGUUCACAGAAUCCAACAUGGGUUGCUCUGUGUAAGUGAGCUGUCAGUGUUCUCCUCUCAUAGUUCCUACCGGGAAGUAACUGUAUCUUUAACACGGCUGUUUCUACAGGAUUUUCUCCAUUUUCUGCCUCCAACCUCAGACUUUUGCCUUGAAAUUGAUUCCAAAAAAAAAAAGCAUCCAGAAAAUACAUCCAUGGAAAAUACACUCGGUGGCGACUGAGGUUUUCUAAACUGCAAGCGAUCUCUGUGCUGGGAUUCUGCAUGGCCUGCCGGAAAUAGCCUGAUGCCACCUGCCUCCCCUGUCAUCUAUUAAGAUGAGACAUCCACUAUCCUUGAAACAGAAAAGCCACAAAAUAAGCACUUCAAGGCCAGCAUCAUCAGCUGCCCCCACUGCAGUGAAAGGCUACUUCUUAGAUGAACAGAUGAAUGACUUCGCCGCAAAGUGCUUCAAAAUAUAUGCAAGGAAUGAAAGUUAAGGAAGAAUGGAGGAGAGAUGGAAGAGGAGGAAGGAAGAGGGGGAAGGGAGCUGUAAAAGGAAAUAAGAGAACAAAUCUCACUGAAAUGAAAACAAGAAGAGCCUUCAAAUUCCACGUCACUGUUCUCUAGAUUUCUCUCAUGUCACUCCCUAAGCGCCUGUGUGCUCCUGUCUUGAAGACUGUAUGGUGUGUGUUCCUCUUAUCAUCACCUGCCGCGGAAGGUGAAGGCUUUAGUUUUGAAAAGGCACAUGGAGGGGGAAAUGAUGGUUAAAUGCAAAAGGAGUCAUGGCACAUACACACUAAAAUGCUGAACAUCGUAUGCUGGGUUUGGUGUUAUGAACACUGUCUCUUAAUCUGUUGGAGCCCAAUCUAGUAAUUCCACUUGGUUUUCCUCAACCAGACUUCUUCUUCAAACAAUGCCAGAGAAAGCAAAUAAACAGCUUUUAAACAGCUGAUUGUCAGGUGCAUUGAUGCAAUCUUCAGGUUUCAUGUCUUGAGGUCUGUAGACAUUUCUU